AUUGCCUGAUGCGGUAAGGCAACUUUGUUCCAGUGACCAAGCUGUUCUCAAGCCCACAUCGAAGUCAUGCUUGAAGUCACCUCGUGGUAUCAUGACACAACUCUUGGAGGCAUGUGUUCAGAUGCCACUCUGCUAAAUCCUCUGGAAUACAGCAUUUUCCACCUACCAGAUAGAUGCAUUCCAAAGAGACUACCACCGCCCGCUCCCCUGCUGUAGGGGCCUGAUCAGCACACGGGAGUCUAUAGGGUGGAUAAAAGGAACUGGAUUACUCUUGCCACAGCUGCUUCCCACUGGUAGCAACAACACACAAAACUGAUAAUGCCCCCUUCAAAUGCAAGGGGUGAAGAAAGCCCUUGCCAUUGUUCCUGGGCUGAG